rnacentral:rRNA from 1 species
AGACCACAAUGUCCUUGGGCAAUGUGAGAAAAGGCUUCGGUCGCUUAGAGAUAGGCUCGCGUCCCAUUAGCUAGUUGGUGAGGUAAUGGCUCACCAAGGCUUCGAUGGGUAGCUGGUUUUAGAGGAUGAUCAGCCACACUGGAACUGAGACACGGUCCAGACUCCUACGGGAGGCAGCAGUGGGGAAUCUUGCGCAAUGGGCGAAAGCCUGACGCAGCAACGCCGCGUGAGUGAUGAAGGCCCUCGGGUCGUAAAGCUCUGUCCUGGGAGAAGAAUUUUGACGGUAUCCCAGAAGAAAGCACCGGCUAACUCCGUG